rnacentral:lncRNA from 1 species
CACACUGUGGGACCCCCAGUGUUGGCAAAGUUCGGGAAGGGGUUAAAUAAAUGCAGCUUCAGGGAUUGAUUUUGACACAGAUCAACCUGUGUGAGGGCAGGAAAGUAGGCCUUGCAAGGUCGGUUCCGUUCUUGGGCUCCUGGUGCUAUGACAUCACAGACAGACUGUCCCUGCCCAGUUCUGGGGUUGCUGAGCUGAGAGCACAACCAGCUCCAGCUGGCGCCAGCAGAAGAAACAUCUUCCCCCAAGAGGAAACACUGGUUAGCUGGCUCUGAGCAAAACAAACAAAAAUGGAUUCAGGGAACCAUCCUGACACCCCAAAUUCAACCAGGUGUGCUGGGAAGAAGACAUGCCGACUGCAGCCUACACAUGGCGCGACUCAAGUGCCUACACCCAGACCAGGUGACCCAUUUGACCAUCACCCUUCUGGUCCCCACACAGUUCCCAAUCCUCCUCCCCCUCCCUCAGGACUCACUUGUCGUUUCCAGGCUGUCCAAACUGCUCAGGAGAGCAGGCCCAGACUGCCCCGGCCUGCUCAGGGGUGCCAGGCCAACGGACCUGCCAUGGCGGGGCCUCUUGCCAGAACCUCCAGCAGCAGCAGAAGUAAAUCCACAGCUGAGAAACAUCAACGUAACGAUUUCCUGCUGGCUCUGUGAACAUUAAAAAUAUCUUUACCUGCAUUGUUCAGUGUUUUAGAUUUAUUCACAUAUCCAUUCUCCUGUUUAGACAUCCAGCUGAAGGGAAUAAUUCAAAGCUGGUUUAUUUUGGUGUAGCUCCGUUUCUCCCAUUUCUGGUUUCAGUUUAGGGGGGGUGGUUUGUUUAUUUUCCCAUUAACCAGGCGUAAAAUAAACAAAAGUAGCACCAGCUCCA